GUCCACGCUGUAAACGAUGAGUGCUGGAUGUCGUGGGUAUUGACCCCCGCGGCGUCGUAGCUAACGCGUUAAGCACUCCGCCUGGGGAGUACGGCCGCAAGGCUAAAACUCAAAGGAAUUGACGGGGGCCCGCACAAGCUGUGGAGCAUGUGGUUCAAUUCGACGCAACGCGCAGAACCUUACCUGGGUUAAAUCCACCAGAAUCCUGCAGAGAUGUGGGAGUGCCUUUCGGGGAAUUGGUGAGAAGGUGCUGCAUGGCUGUCGU
rnacentral:rRNA from 1 species